UACGAAGGGGGCUAGCGUUGCUCGGAAUCACUGGGCGUAAAGCGCACGUAGGCGGAUUGUUAAGUCAGGGGUGAAAUCCUGGAGCUCAACUCCAGAACUGCCUUUGAUACUGGCGAUCUUGAGUCCGGGAGAGGUGAGUGGAACUGCGAGUGUAGAGGUGAAAUUCGUAGAUAUUCGGAAGAACACCAGUGGCGAAGGCGACUUACUGGACACAUAUUGACGCUGAGGUGCGAAAGCGUGGGGAGCAAACAGGG
rnacentral:rRNA from 1 species